rnacentral:rRNA from 1 species
UACGUAGGCAGCAAGCGUUGUUCGGAAUUACUGGGCGUAAAGAGUGUGUAGGCGGUGUUCUAAGUUUGUCGUGAAAUCUCCCGGCUUAACUGGGAGGGUGCGGCGAAAACUGGAAUGCUAGAGGAUGGGAGAGGUAAGCGGAAUUCCCAGUGUAGCGGUGAAAUGCGUAGAUAUUGGGAGGAACACCAGUGGCGAAGGCGGCUCACUGGACCGGAACUGACGCUGAGGCGCGAAAGCGUGGGGAGCAAACGGG